rnacentral:misc_RNA from 1 species
AGUCAGUUGAACCCUGUGUCGAUGAUUGCUGUUAUCGGCGAAGCCCGGUGUCGAUGAAAUUUUGUCGGCGAAGACAGCGUCGGAGGCAAACAGUCGAUACGGACUCGAUUAUAGCACUCGUUGUCAUUUUCUUAUCUUCUCAAGAGGAUGAAGAGAAUAAACUAACAACUUCGCUAAUUAUGAAACCAAAGGGACCACGCGUUUAAGAGUUUCAGCGUGUGGCCAAAUACAGCUUCUUCAAAUUUUCAAGUCGCACAACUAUGAUUUUCAGCCC